AGUUGCCGACCACACUUGGAAAAUGACUUGCCAUUGAUUUCCAAACACUUCUUCGUGUUGAAGGGUCCCUACCAGUGAAGAAAAACCAGUCUGUCAAACACAAAGU